rnacentral:rRNA from 1 species
GACGAACGCUGGCGGCGUGCUUAACACAUGCAAGUCGAACGGAAAGGCCCUGCGUUUGUGGGGUGCUCGAGUGGCGAACGGGUGAGUAACACGUGAGUAACCUGCCCUUGACUUUGGGAGAACUUCAGGAAACUGGGGCGAAUACCGGAGAGGAUCUUCUGCUGCAUGGUGGGGGUAGGAAAGUGUCGGCGGUUGGGGAUGGACUCGCGGCUUAUCAGCUUGUUGGUGGGGUAGUGGCUUACCAAGGGUUUGACGGGUAGCCGGCCUGAGAGGGUGACCGGCCACAUUGGGACUGAGAGACGGCCCAGACUCGUACGGGAGGCAGCAGUGGGGAAUAUUGCACAAUGGGCGGAAGCCUGAUGCAGAAACGCCGCGUGCGGGAUGACGGCCUUCGGGUUGUAAACCGCUUUCGACUGUGCCGAAGCGUGAGUGACGGUAAUGGGUAAAGAAGCACCGGCUAACUACGUG